GAUGAACGCUAGCGGCAUGCCUAAUACAUGCAAGCCAAGGGCUGUUUGGUUUAGCAAUACAUCCAACAACCGGCGGACGGGUUCGUAACGCGUAUACAACCUACCCUCUACAGGAGGAUACCCCUCGGAAACGAGUAUUAAUACUCCAUAAUAUUGCUUAGAGGCAUCUUUAAGCAAUUAAAUCCCCAAGGGGGUAUAGGCUGGGCGUGCGUCCGAUUAGCUAGUUGGUGAGGUAACGGCUCACCAAGGCGAUGAUCCGUACGGGUUCUGAGAGGAAGAGCCCCCACAGGGGCACUGAGCAAAGGGCCCGACUCCUACGGGAGGCAGCAGUACGGAAUAUUGGAGUAUGGGUGAAAGCCUGAUCCAGCCAUGCCGCGUGCAGGAAGAAGGCCUUAUGGGUUGUAAACUGCUUUUGGGAGGGAGAAAUAAGGGCGAUGCGUCGCUAGGUGAUAGUACUUCUAGAAUAAGCAUCGGCUAACUUCGUG
rnacentral:rRNA from 1 species